UACGGAAGGUCCGGGCGUUAUCCGGAUUUAUUGGGUUUAAAGGGAGCGCAGGCGGGUUGUUAAGCGUGACGUGAAAUGUAGGGGCUCAACCUUUGAAUUGCGUCGCGAACUGGCGACCUUGAGUGGGUACGACGCGGACGGAAUUCGUGGUGUAGCGGUGAAAUGCUUAGAUAUCACGAAGAACUACGAUUGCGAAGGCAGUCCGCGAGUCCCCAACUGACGCUAAAGCUCGAAAGUGCGGGUAUCGAAC
rnacentral:rRNA from 1 species